GCAAUCAACAGCAACGUGACAUCCUUGGGAAAGGUAACAAUGAGAACCGAACGACCAAUGUGAUCAUUAACGUGACACAACUUGCUACACGACAGAUGUAACGCUUGAAGUAGAUAAUGGACACAUUUGUGCGACACAGCCACUUUACAAGAAUUUACUUUCUCACGUCAACCAUUCACAAAAGCACCACGACGCGCCAUGAUGCUGUCAAUCAUGUGGAUAACCUUACCAAAUUCAGAAUUUAAAAAUCAACCUUCUUGACCAGCCGCUCAUCCUCACGAGGGUCGCGGGAGUUCUGGAGCCUGUCCCAGCUGUCAACGGGCAGGAGGCAGGGUACACCCUCACCUGGUUGCCAGCCAAUCGCAGGGCAGAUUGAGGCAACCAGCCGCACUCACAAUCACACCUAGGGGCAAUUUAGAGUGUCCAAUUACCGUAAUUCCCGGCCUACAGAGUGCACCUGGCUAUAAGCCUCACCCAGUAUACAGUAUUUGUCGAGGAAAUAGAUUUGGUACAUACAUAAGCCGCAGCCGUGUAAAAGCCACAAGUCCCCACAUUGAAACUGACAUUGAAACAGGAGAUGUUUACAAAGAAAGACGGUACAUAAAGAGUUUAACGCUAGCGUCACGCUAACAGGGCCGGUUAAAAAAAAACAUACUGGUAAAAAAUUACUGGGACACGGCAGAAACACACUAGCCCAGAGCUAACAGUGCUGGACCGGUAAAAGUCACUUCCUCGGCACAUAUAUU